rfam:Nippostrongylus brasiliensis genome assembly, scaffold: NBR_scaffold0006193
GUCUCAGUAGCAUAGUGGUUAGUGCUCAGCCCCGGAAAGGUUGAGACGCGGGUUCGAUUCCUGCUUGAGAUG